GCCAGACUCCUACGGGAGGCAGCAGUGAGGAAUAUUGGUCAAUGGCCGGAAGGCUGAACCAGCCAAGUCGCGUGAGGGAAUAAGGCCCUAUGGGUCGUAAACCUCUUUUGUCAGGGAACAAAGGCGGGGACGUGUCCCCGGAUGAGUGUACCUGAAGAAAAAGCAUCGGCUAACUCCGUGCCAGCAGCCGCGGUAAUACGGAGGAUGCGAGCGUUAUCCGGAUUUAUUGGGUUUAAAGGGUGCGUAGGCGGGCUUUUAAGUCAGCGGUAAAAAUUCGGAGCUCAACCCCGUCCGGCCGUUGAAACUGGGGGCCUUGAGUGGGCGAGAAGAAGGCGGAAUGCGUGGUGUAGCGGUGAAAUGCAUAGAUAUCACGCAGAACUCCGAUUGCGAAGGCAGCAUACCGGCGCCCAACUGACGCUGAAGCACGAAAGCGUGGGUAUCGAACAGGAUUAGAUACCCUUGUA
rnacentral:rRNA from 1 species